GUACAGAGGGGGGCAAGCGUUAUUCGGGAAUUAUUGGGCGUAAAGGGCGCGUAGGCGGCUUGGCAAGUGGAUGGUGAAAUCCCUCGGCUUAACCGAGGAACUGCCGUCCAAACUGCUUAGCUUGAGACCGGGAGAGGUGAGUGGAAUUCCCAGUGUAGCGGUGAAAUGCGUAGAUAUUGGGAGGAACACCCGUGGCGAAGGCGGCUCUCUGGGACGGUACUGACGCUGAGGACGCGAAAGCGUGGGGAGCGAACAGG
rnacentral:rRNA from 1 species